CAGAGACAAAAAGCAGGCUGAGAGUCCCUGCUCUGGACUCUAGAUCACAAUGAAGCCACAUCUUUCUACAACUUUUGAAAGAAGCAGGUCAGUAUGCCAAUAGCAAGAAGACUUGUUCUUGAAAGGUUGAGUUUUUCAAAUGAGUCCUGAAAGAAUUCUACCACACUGCCUAUUUCCCAAGCAGGGAUCAUGGGAGAAAGGAAAUUUUGAAGAAAAUGGUUCUAAUGCCAUUUUGUUAAAAGUACUGAGAGAUUUACAAUGAUCAAGUAAUAUGCCAGUUCUUUCAAAGGAUGCCAACAUCUGAUGCCAACAUAAUUACAAGUUGGAAAAAUGUGUAAUGAAUCAGGCGGCUCAUAAUUUCCCUUAGAAUAUGUAUGCACAACUUAUUAAAUGACAUAAAAAGCAAAGAGUCACGGCAAAUGUUGAAACCUUAAAUCUGAGUUUCAUUGCUUUGGGGCAUUUUCGUCAAACUCCAUCAUCUGGAAGUACCUAACAAUAAGAAAUAUUAGGUCACAAGCUGUUUUAGAAACACCUGUAAUACCUUCACCUAAUGAGGCCAAUAAACGAGAGCUUCGUGUUCCUCAUCAAAUAAGAAAACUUAAUAGUCAAAUCUGACAUAAUAAGCCCAAACUCAAACCCUGUAGAAAUGGAAACACUCACAUGGAGAGCAUUUUCUCCUCCAAAUUUUCGAUUCUGCCAGGUCCCUCCCCUAAAGCCACCUGGUGGAAAAAUGUGCCCCCAGUGCUAGGUCAGUGUGGGUUUCCCAGAGUAGGGCUUAAUUCAUGUGGUGGUCUUUGGAGGCUCAGAAAGAAUAG
rnacentral:lncRNA from 1 species